ACUCAUGGCAAUAGAUAUCUAUAUUCUCACAUUGAUGAAGAACAUAGGAAAAUGCGAUACUAUAUGUGAAUUACAAAAUCCCAUGAACCAUCAAGUUUGUGAACGCAUGUUACACCCUAAGCCAUUAGAUCGAGGGCAGGUCUGCCUGGGUGUCAUUCAUCAUUGCCCACUCUAACCCUUAACCCAUUAAGCUUUAGGUGAGAGGAGAAGAAGAUGGCCUCUCAUCAUCUCAAUGAUCGAUGUUGGCCUAAUAGCAAGACUCCAACAAUGAUAGCACCAUGAUCAUUGUUGGUAAAGCUCUUGAUGUGCCUCGUCUCUGAUGAUGCACGCUUAUUCUCUAUCUAAACCCCAUUGACCCCUUGUAUCACUCAAUCGAUGCUCACAUCAUGACCUCGGGUUAGGUGAGAUUACCCACUGAGUUUAAGCAUAUCAAUAAGAAGAGGAAAAUAAACUUACUAGGAUUCUUAUAGUAAUAGUGAAUGAAUCGAGAAGAGCCUAGCUUGAGAAUCAAGCACCUCUAACAUUCGAAUUAUAGUUUGGAGAACUGUCUUCAAUGGCAGACUAGGCCUAAGUCCCUUAGAAAAUGGUACCAGAGAGGGUGAGAGCCCCAUUGUGCCUAGACACUAUCACACCAUAAAGCGCUAUUUGUAAGUCGAGUUGUUUAGGAAUACAGCCCCAAUUGAGCAAUAAAUUCCAUCCAAGGCUGAAUACAGGUGAGAGGCUGAUAGUGAAUAAGAACCAUGAGGGAAACAUGAAAAUGACUUUGAAAAAGGAGUCAAAGAGUGCUUGAAAUUGUCAAAAAGAAAGUGGAUAAAGGCUAGUGAUGUGCCUUAGUCAGAUAAGGAACAACAAGAACUAGUCUAUCGAAUGACUUGAGGCAUGGAUUGACACCCAAGCUUUUGAUAUAGUAGUGAAGAUGUCAUCACCAUGAUCAUGGAAUCCAACACACACCAUCUCAGUGUGCCUCAGCACCAAUGUGCUCCCGACGUUAGCCUACUAGUUCAUCAUCUAGCCUAUCUUGAAGCACAGACCAAAGAGUUUGACAUUUGUGUGAGUUAAUGGGCUAGAAAACCCGUAAGGCAUAAAAAACCUAAUUGGCAAGAUCCCUUGUGGGUGCACCACUGACUAACCUUGAUUUUCUAAGAAAAGUUUAAGUGUAAGCAUGCAUGUCGGGACCUCAAAGAUGGUGAACUAUGUCUGAGUAAGGCAAAGCCAAAGAAAACUCUGAUGGAGGCCUGCAGUGAUACUCAUGUGCAAAUCUUUUGUCUAACUUGAGUAUAUAGGUGAAAGACUAAUCGAAUGGUUUAGUAGCUGGUUCCCUCCAAAGUUUCCCUCAAGAUAGCUAGAGCCCUUAGCGAGUUCUAUCAGAUAAAGCCAAUGAUUAGAAGUAUUGGGAGGACAACACCUUUGACCUAUUCUUAAAUGUUGAAUAGGUAGGAUAGUGUGGCUAUUUUGUUGAGCCGUGCCACAAAUCAAGAGCUCCAAAUGGGCUUUUUUUUUGGUAAGUAAAAAUGGUGAUGUGGGAUAAACCAAAAGUAGGGUUACAAUGCCCAACUGUGCAUUAACCUAGAACCCAUAAAAGGUGUUAGUCAAUUAAGAUAGUAGGAUGAUGGUCAUAAAAGUUGAAAUCUACUAAGGAGUGUGUAGCAACUCACCUAUCAAAUCAACUAGCAUAAAAAAUGGAUGGCACUUAAGCGUGUGACCUAUACCUAGCCAUCGAAGCAAGGGCCAGGCCCUAAUGAAUAGGAGGUCAGAGCGACCAUCAGUGCAGAUCUUGAUAGUAGUAGCAAAUAUUCAAAUGAGAACUUUGAAAACUAAAAAGGGGAAAAGUUCCGUGUGAAUAACACCUUCACUUAGGUUAGUUGAUCCAAAGAGAUGGGGGAAGCCUAUUCGAUAGUGUGUUUGGUGUGAGCUUUAAAAGGGAAUUGGUAAUUCCUAUACUAGAUGCAAAGUUGACCAGUUGGCAUGCAUGCAAAUAAAGGGCUCGAUUGUGCUGAGCUCAAGCUCAUGCCCGUAACUGAAGCUACCCCAAACCCCAGACCAAGUCCUUGAAUUGGGUAACAGUUCUAUGGGGUGGUGCAAGUAAAACUAUGAUCACUGGCUUGGCUUGGCCAAGUCUCUCAGGUUUUUAACAAUUUCAUUAUCCUUUCUUGUCAACCAUAAAAAUGCCUUGGCCUAGCAAGUACAUCCAUGCAGUCGAUGCUACCUAAAACUCUAGGAAUAAGUCCCCGAAUUGGGCAACAUCCUUCUAAGGUGGUGACAGUGGAGAUUGCAUGUGCAGUCUCGACCAGACCAAGCAUUGAUAUGCCAUGUUGUUGUUGUCGUUAGAUGGUAGAGGUACUCUUAUGGCUUUUAUUUAUGUUUUUUCAUGCCAGGCAGUUAUGGCAUGGACUCAUGCGUUGUUUUCUCUGUUUGCUAUUUGAAUAAUCGAUCGGGUGCAUUAUAGACCAGUGUGCAUAGAUAUUGUCACUUGUACGUAAUGGGCAUAUGAAAGGUGCUAUUGUUGUGGAUGUUGGUUGGCUUCAUGCUCGAUGCAUCAAAUUAUCAACCCAUCAUCCUCUUCAAUCUCCCCCCAUGUGGUUAUCUUACCUUGGGGGUGCAAUCGGGAUCUUAUGCUGUAUACCUAAUCGAUGAAAAUCAAAUGUCUUGCCAUCUUUCAACUAUCAUGCAUCCUUUAGGGCUAUGAGUCAGACCUCAAUCAUUCCUUGUGUCCUAAGUGUGCCACCCAAACCUUCAUGGCCAUAUUGGUGCACUAGUGUUUAAUCAUGCUCUCAGAUGCAUAAUGUUUUAUCAGUGUGGGCUCUCAACCCUUAUUCGUCCGAUGCCAUGAAUUCAUGUGCUCAACACUUGUGCUCUGUGUUGGCUCUCUUUGUUGCUUAAUCAGUGAAUUAAGGCCCAUAUGGUGCCAAUGUCUUGAAAGAAUGCUACCUAGUUGAUCAGUAGUCAUACACUUGUCUUAAAGAUGAAGCCAUGCAUGUGUAAGUAUGAACUAAUUCAGACUAUGAAAUUAUGAAUGGCUCAUUAAAUUAGUUGU
rnacentral:rRNA from 1 species